CAUAUUUUUCCAAUUUCCUUUUUCUCCCUUCUUUUUCACUUCUUAUAUUUCCUUCUUUCCACCGUCUUUACGCCAAACCCAGACAGAACAGAAGCUCGGCGCUUCUGCCGAGUCGAAUUGGAGAUGGGUCUGAAGAUGGAAUGUGAUUUGGAGAUAGAAAUACGCAUGGGUCUUCAACUAGACGCAAUUUCUCAACUUUUGAAGCUUGAAAUUUGCUGUAUUGCUUCUUCCUGUGAGAAAUUGGGUUUAAAGCAGAACAGCAGCUAAACUGUCAAAGCUCCAGAGUUUAAACUCAAGGGUGAGGAUUUUGUUUAUAUUUUUUUUCAUGCACCUUUUGUUUGUGCUUUAGAAAGAGAACCUGGAGAUUGGGACAAGCUUUUAAUAUGGUUUUGGGGUUACCAGUGAGUGAAUUGUGGAAAGGGAACAUGGAAUCCAGGAAAAGUUGUUUGGUGGAGCAGGGAUAGCUAUGGCCUUUUGUGGUGGAAUUGUGUACUGGUUUGUGUUUGGUUUUGGUAACUUUCGUUUGUGGAAUUGGUAUAGUAACAAGGUAACCAGAAGUAACCAUAGUAACCAAAGUAUCCAGACUAACCAGUAGCCAAAGUAACAAGUAACAAUCCACAAAGGAUUUCAAUCUCCAGAGUAACCAGAGUAUCCAAAGUAACCAUCCACGAGGGAUUUAAAAGGGACAGCGAGGCCUUGAAUCACUAGCAAGCGACUUUGUGGGCAAAGAAGCUCGUCGGGUUUCACAUGGUUUUGUCAUCAGGGAAACCAACCUUGCAAAGGAGCAUUGAACUGUUAUAUGUGGUUGCUACAAUGCAAAGGCCUCCAGUAGACCACCUCCCAGAGCUGUUAUAGUAACAAAGAGAAACCCCAGCAGACCUGCUACAAUACAUGGACUCCGUGGUGAACUGCUACAGUAACAAAUAACCAAAGGAAUCAUUGGGACUGCUACAGUGUAAGGACUCCAUCAGGGCUGCUGCAAGGGCCUCCGCCAGUUUGAUUUGCUGCUGUAACUCAAGAGGCUCGAUAGGCUUGAUCAAGAGAGUAGAACAAGACCUGCGUAAAAAGAAAAGAAGACUGCUCCGAAAGGAUUUGAACCUUUGAAAACACGAACUUCUCCUACUCUGAAAUUUUGUUCUCCGUUGUCGCAGGGGGUCUGAUUCUUCUCUUUGUGCUUCUUCCCUCAUUUAUGUUGGCAUGGCCUUUAUAUAUAGUGCACUGCUAACCAGAUUGAGUUCAAAUGAACUUCUUGUGUCUGUUAUAUUUGAACCUCUCGUGUCUGUUGUAAAUUGAAACACUGAUAAGAUAGCUUUAAUCCCAUCAUGGGAACCUCUUUGUAUGAA